rnacentral:rRNA from 1 species
UACGUAGGGUGCAAGCGUUGUCCGGAAUUAUUGGGCGUAAAGAGCUCGUAGGCGGUCUGUCGCGUCGCUGUGAAAACUCGGGGCUCAACCCGAGACGCCAUCCGAUACUGGCGUGACUUGAGUCUGGUAGGGGAGAUCGGAAUUCCUGGUGUAGCGGUGAAAUGCGCAGAUAUCAGGAGGAACACCGGUGGCGAAGGCGGGUCUCUGGGCAGUAACUGACGCUGGAGGAGCGAAAGCCGUGGGGAGC